CCUCCCUCCAUCCUGCUACAAACACACAGCGGCGCCAUGAUCUCUUUGUUUCCUUCGGGCCGAACCCGACCAGACCGACACUUUCUACGGCUUCGUGUCGUCACUCCGAGCCCCGGACAACGCUCCGUCCUUACCGAUACAGGCUCCUUUCGUCACUCCCCGGGCCUUCGGAGCUCCACUUUUAUUCUAGCCGACACGUAAGAGCCCGCGUCAGGCUACACCUCCGCCGCGUCACCGGGAACAACAACACGGAGAUUGGAGAAGGACGAGAAAGCAGAUGGCGACACUGGGCGGAAAUACCCGAGGUGCGAACGAAGAGCAGCGGGGAUUGCCGAGGAGAAGCGGAAGAAACACUACCUGACGCACCAUGAAAGGAAAUCUACAACAAGCUUUCACCGACUCUGAAAAAAAUCAAUCCAUUAUGAACCAGAGCUCGACAGGAGAAAAAAAAGCAGAUGUAAUUUUAAACUUUCCCAACUGGUGGCGCUGUAGAGCCAUGAAAACUCUACGACCAUGUGCUCCUCCGUCUGUGCCUCCCCUCCUCCUCCUCCUCCUCCUCCCCCUCCCCCCCCUCCUCCUCCUCCUCCUCCCCAGCGACAGAGUGAGGGGAGCUGUUGGUGUGUCAUCACGCAGAUAUGUGGAGUUUAUCAAGGCAAUUCCUUUUAUAAUCCUCCUGAUGCUCGUUGCCUGUGUUUUAUCUGUUUAAUAGCAUUUUACGGCUACACGCCAUAAAAAACACCCUUUUUAUUGUGACACCAAACACAUUGUUUGGGGAAUUGACCCUGCCUGGGUAAUGAACAGCAGUGAAUUUGCAGCCAGUUAAAAAAAAAAAUCAGAAGGGGAGGAGGAACGAAGGGCUAAAGGGGGGGGGGGGGGGGGGGGGACAAUUUGACCCAAACAAGAGGGGAGGAAUAUUUUACAGGAAGGGGGGAAGAAGACUGUUAUCCAUGUCCCAUUAGAGGCUGGCUUUUUUUUCUUCUGGUUUUGAAGGAGUGAAAUCCAUUAGACAAUUUCAAAGAAAAAAAGAAAAAAAACCCAAAGUAGCAGAAUAAGGAGUCGUACAAAGAAACGUACUUCAGUCCUACAACUCACUUUUGAAAUGUGAAAAAAAAAACAGAAAAGAAUCAAGUUUGGGGUUCAUCGCUCCUGGAAGAUUUACUGAGUAUGUCAAAUUUAGGGAGUGAUGAGUUCAUAUCUUCAACUAUCUGAGGUAGCUCGCAUAGGUAGCUGCUAUAAAUGGAGUGGUAUAACUCUUAGGAAAUUUCAAGUAGGAGAGAAUAAAGAAUUUGGUAAAGAUAGAUAUAUUUUUGAUGCUGAUGACGCGGUAAUACAUUGAUGGUAGAAAUUCUUUGGCAUUUGAAUUGAAGGCAAAGAUUCUCUUAAAGUGCUGUAUAGCAGACUGUUCCACCACUUCUACAUCAUUUUUAAAAAUGUGCCUCCUGAGACACCCUUACCCCUGCCUUCAGUCACAGAUAGUCUCUAACUGUAAAGGCCCUGACACACCAAGCAGACGGCAAAGAACUAGUGGCGUCCCCUCACGUCGCUGUUUGUCUUGGACCAAAAAGUUGCACUAGAACACACCGCAAAGACUACAGGCGACGGCCAACCACCACGUACCUUCUGCGCAUGAGUGAGAGGAAAUAACUCUCCAUGCCAGUUGGUGGCGGUAGUCCGUUGUUAUGAUACGAGAAGACCAUUUUCACACCGCUGUCGCCCACCACUCGUGAUAUAGGUAGCCUACUAAUCGAGAAUCACGUCUGAUAAAAAGUUCAAAAUACUACAGCGGCAUGUUCUGCUCAAGGGGCUGGAACCUCCGAACAGCCAAUCAGAGAGAUUCCUCUCACCGACCACCAACGCCGAUUCAACAUGACGAAUCGGGCCAACUAGGACCGACGGCCGACGAUCUCCUUGGUG